GCGCGUAGGCGGCUCGUUAAGUGUGAAGCUAAAUCUCUGGGCUCAACCCAGAAACCAUUUCGCAUACUGACGAGCUGGAGUGAUGAAGAGGUUUGUGGAAUUCCUGGUGUAGCGGUGAAAUGCGUUGAUAUCAGGAGGAACACCCAUGGCGAAGGCAGCAAACUGGUCAUCAACUGACGCUGAGGCGCGAAAGCGUGGGUAGCAAACAGGAUUAGAUACCCUGGUAGUCCACGCCCUAAACGAUGGAUACUAGGCGUAAGAGGUAUCGACCCCUCUUGUGCCGUAGCUAACGCGUGAAGUUGACCGCCUGGGGAGUACGGUCGCAAGAUUAAAACUCAAAGGAAUUGACGGGGACCCGCACAAGCGGUGGAUGAUGUGGAUUAAUUCGAUGCAACGCGAAAAACCUUACCUACCCUUGACAUGUAUGGAACCCUGCUGAGAGGUGGGGGUGCCCGAAAGGGAGCCAUAACACAGGUGCUGCAUGGCUGUCGUCAGCUCGUGUCGUGAGAUGUUGGGUUAAGUCCCGCAACGAGCGCAACCCUUGUCAUUAGUU
rnacentral:rRNA from 1 species